rnacentral:rRNA from 3 species
AGCCUGAUGCAGCCAUGCCGCGUGUGUGAAGAAGGCCUUCGGGUUGUAAAGCACUUUCAGCGAGGAGGAAAGGUUACUGGCUAAUAUCCAGUAGCUGUGACGUUACUCGCAGAAGAAGCACCGGCUAACUCCGUGCCAGCAGCCGCGGUAAUACGGAGGGUGCGAGCGUUAAUCGGAAUUACUGGGCGUAAAGCGUGCGCAGGCGGUUUGUUAAGCGAGAUGUGAAAGCCCCGGGCUCAACCUGGGAACUGCAUUUUGAACUGGCAAACUAGAGUCUUGUAGAGGGGGGUAGAAUUCCAGGUGUAGCGGUGAAAUGCGUAGAGAUCUGGAGGAAUACCGGUGGCGAAGGCGGCCCCCUGGACAAAGACUGACGCUCAUGCACGAAAGCGUGGGGAGCAAACAGGAUUAGAUACCCUGGUAGUCCACGCCGUAAACGAUGUCUACUCGGAGUUUGGUGUCUUGAACACUGGGCUCUCAAGCUAACGCAUUAAGUAGACCGCCUGG